GUGCUUACUUCAGCAACACAUAUACUAAAACUAAAACAAUGCAGAGAUUAGCAUGGCCCCUGCACAGGAUGACACAUAAAUUUGUUCAGUGUUCUAUAUUUUG
ensembl:snRNA U6 U6 spliceosomal RNA